AAUUGCCCCGUAUCAGGAAGCGUUGGGUGAGCGGCGAGGAUGGUACCGCGGGAUGGGGCCUAAACCUUCUUCCAACACGUCCUCGCACUCGUCAUCUAACAUGUCGUCUUCGCAAGCUCGGACGCAAGAACCCUUUUCCGAGGAUUUUGUUAACAGCUUGUUCCAAACCCCGUCAUUUUUGAACCAACUUAACAACUAUCUUGCUUCACAAGGAAAAG